ACGACCUUACUUGAACAUGAUCUGUUCUAUAAGCUCGCACCUCUUCCUUGAUUUCUUUCAUUUAAAAAAAUGAAAAUAAUAUGCGGUCGCAGAAAAUUAUCCAUCCAUUUUAUAUAAACACUAGGUUAAGACCCGCGCAUU
rnacentral:snoRNA from 1 species